CAUGCAGUCGAGCGGGGUUUUCGGACCUAGCGGCGGACGGGUGAGUAAUGCGUAUGAAGCUACCCGAUAGAGGGGGAUACCAGUUGGAAACGACUGUUAAUACCGCAUAAUGUCUACGGACCAAAGUGUGGGACCUUCGGGCCACAUGCUAUCGGAUGCGCCUACGUGGGAUUAGCUAGUUGGUGGGGUAAUGGCUCACCAAGGCGACGAUCCCUAGCUGGUUUGAGAGGAUGAUCAGCCACACUGGAACUGAGACACGGUCCAGACUCCUACGGGAGGCAGCAGUGGGGAAUAUUGGACAAUGGGCGCAAGCCUGAUCCAGCCAUGCCGCGUGUGUGAAGAAGGCCUUCGGGUUGUAAAGCACUUUCGGCGAGGAGGAAGGGAGUUGUGUUAAUAGUACAGCUUCUUGACGUUACUCGCAGAAGAAGCACCGGCUAACUCUGUGCCAGCAGCCGCGGUAAUACAGAGGGUGCAAGCGUUAAUCGGAAUUACUGGGCGUAAAGCGCACGUAGGCGGUUUUUUAAGUCAGAUGUGAAAGCCCCGGGCUCAACCUGGGAAUUGCAUUUGAAACUGGAAAACUAGAGUGUGUGAG
rnacentral:rRNA from 1 species